AUUGAACGCUGGCGGCAGGCCUAACACAUGCAAGUCGAGCGAGUGGCGGACGGGUGAGUAAUGUCUGGGAAACUGCCUGAUGGAGGGGGAUAACUACUGGAAACGGUAGCUAAUACCGCAUACCAUCAGAUGUGCCCAGAUGGGAUUAGCUAGUAGGUGGGGUAAGGGCUCACCUAGGCGACGAUCCCUAGCUGGUCUGCGAGGAGGACAAGCCACACUGGAACUGAGACACGGUCCAGACUCCUACGGGAGGCAGCAGUGGGGAAUAUUGCACAAUGGGCGCAAGCCUGAUGCAGCCAUGCCGCGUGUGUGAAGAAGGCCUGCGGGUUGUAAAGUACUUUCAGCGGGGAGGCGUUACCCGCAGAAGAAGCACCGGCUAACUCCGUGCCAGCAGCCGCGGUAAUUC
rnacentral:rRNA from 1 species